rnacentral:rRNA from 1 species
CGUUUAGGNNUAAACCUGAGAAACCCGAAAGGUCGAAGGGAGAAAUUCAUUCGCGUUUCGCGGUAGGCGUCGUUCGUUCGUGCGACGGAUUAACGUUCGCGUUCUUCCGCGCCUUACGUUCGUCGAACCGAUCGCGAACGCGUGCACUUUUCUCCUGGUAGGACGUCGCGAUCCGUCGGGUGUCGGUCUACGGCUCGCGGUGGAGCCCGUUCGUCGUUUUUACGAACGUACGAACGGACCCGCGUGUUACCUGGCCGACUCGCUCGACGGUAAAUUAACGGUCGAGGGCCGCUCGUUUAUAGGAGCGUUCGACUCGUGGCAAGCGCGUCAGACGCGUCGGAACGCGGACCUAGUGCCGCGCCCGAUCUCUGGCGACUGUUGGCCGCGACGUUCUCGAACAGACCCCCCCGUGUUUAGACCGAUCGGCGACGCUAUAGCUUUGGGUAAUUUCAGGACCCGUCUUGAAACACGGACCAAGGAGUCUAGCAUGUACGCGAGUCAUUGGGAAUCACUAAACCUAAAGGCGUAAUGAAAGUAAAGGUCUUCCUAGCGGAGACCGAGGGAAGACGUGCGGUACGCCCUUAAAAGCGUCCGUUCAGCAUUCCCGGGGCGUCUCGCUCUCAUCGCGAGAAGAGGCGCACCAAGAGCGUACACGCUGGGACCCGAAAGAUGGUGAACUAUGCCUGGUCAGGACGAAGUCAGGGGAAACCCUGAUGGAGGUCCGUAGCGAUUCUGACGUGCAAAUCGAUCGUCGGAACUGGGUAUAGGGGCGAAAGACUAAUCGAACCAUC